rnacentral:rRNA from 1 species
GUUGUAUAGUUAAGUGAAUAAGCGUACACGGUGGAUGCCUUGGCAAUCAGAGGCGAAGAAGGACGUGCUAAUCUGCGAAAAGCGUGGGGGAGUUGAUAAGAAGCGUAAAUCCCACGAUAUCCGAAUGGGGAAACCCGGUAGAUGAAGAAUCUAUCAUCCUUAUCUGAAUGUAUAGGAUAAGGAGGCAAACCAGGAGAACUGAAACAUCUCAGUACCCUGAGGAAAAGAAAUCAACCGAGAUUCUGCGAGUAGCGGCGAGCGAAAGUGGAGGAGCCGUUAGAGAUAGCGAGAUGGAAAGGAGAAUGAGUUGGGAAGCUCAAUCGAAGAGGGUGAUAAUCCCGUAUCCGAAAGCCAUGUUGUGGUACUAAGCUAACAAGAAGUAGGGCGAGACACGAGGAAUCUUGUCUGAAGAUGGGGGGACCAUCCUCCAAGGCUAAAUACUCCUGAUUGACCGAUAGUGAACCAGUACCGUGAGGGAAAGGCGAAAAGAACCCCGGGAGGGGAGUGAAAGAGAACCUGAAACCGUGUACGUACAAGCAGUGGGAGCGUGGAGAAAUCUAUGUGACUGCGUACCUUUUGUAUAAUGGGUCAGCGAGUUAUAUUUUGUAGCGAGGUUAACUGAAUAAGGAAGCCGAAGGGAAACCGAGUCUUAACUGGGCGGAUAGUUGCAAGGUAUAGACCCGAAACCCGGUGAUCUAGCCAUGGUCAGGUUGAAGGUUGGGUAACACUAACUGGAGGACCGAACCGACUACUGUUGAAAAAGUAGCGGAUGAAUUGUGGCUGGGGGUGAAAGGCCAAUCAAACCGGGAGAUAGCUGGUUCUCCCCGAAAUCUAUUUAGGUAGAGCCUUAUAUGAAUACCUUCGGGGGUAGAGCACUGUUUCGGCUAGGGGUCCAUCCCGGAUUACCAACCCGAUGCAAACUGCGAAUACCGAAGAGUAAUGUAUAGGAGACACACGGCGGGUGCUAACGUUCGUCGUGGAGAGGGAAACAACCCAGACCGCCAGCUAAGGUCCCAAAGUCUAUAUUAAGUGGGAAACGAAGUGGAAAGGCUUAGACAGCUAGGAUGUUGGCUUAGAAGCAGCCAUCAUUUAAAGAAAGCGUAAUAGCUCACUAGUCGAGUCGGUCUGCGCGGAAGAUGUAACGGGGCUAAAAUAUAGCACCGAAGCUGCGGCAUCA